rnacentral:rRNA from 1 species
UACGGGGGGGGCAAGCGUUGUUCGGAAUUACUGGGCGUAAAGGGCUCGUAGGUGGCCAACUAAGUCAGACGUGAAAUCCCCAGGCUCAACUUGGGAACUGCGUCUGAUACUGGAUGGCUUGAAUUCGGGAGAGGGAUGCAGAAUUCCAGGUGUAGCGGUGAAAUGCGUAGAUAUCUGGAGGAACACCGGUGGCGAAGGCGGCAUCCUGGACCGGUAUUGACGCUGAUGCGCGAAAGCCAGGGGAGCAAACGGG